UUGGGUCAGACUUUAACCUUGCACUUGAGCAUACAUUUACUGAGCAGCUAGGAUGUUCCAGACCUUGCAGAGGGCCUAGAGAUGACUGAGGCCAGGUCUCUUCUCUCAAGUUGCUCAUAGUUUGAUGGGAGAGACACAUGGCCACACAGCCCUGAAAUGUCAUUGAGAAGUGCUCGUAGCAGGCAUUACCUAGAGUACGCACAAAGGGUUGUGGGAGCAGAGGUUGGAGAGGUCCAGUCUGCCUUGGGGGUGCCAGUCAGGGAAGACUUCCUGGAGGAGAUGAGCUCUGCAUUGAACUUUGAAGGAUGACAGGAGUGGAGUGUGUCCCUGGGAAAUGUCCCUCAUAGGCAGAGUGAACAUGCAAGGACUUGAAUGGCUUGUCUGGGGAAUCCUGAGAAUCUGGUCUCUACCCUGUGUUGCUUUGUCAGGAGGUCUCUUCUAAGUGCCUUUCACCUAACAGCAUCCUGCCCUGGAGGAGACUUCCAAGCAUGAUUGGAGCUCCCAAUCCGAUGGGGGAGACAGGACACACAUACGUGUAAUAAGAGUGUCCCCUGUGAGGCUGCUGCUGAGAGAAGCUCUGGGAAGUGUUCCUGAGAGUGGCUUCCCAUGGAGUUUGGAGGAGGAGGAGUGGGCCAAGCAGGGAAGGACCAAGAGGUCACCUUCUCCUUUCCAGCCCCAGAUGCCUUUGGCAGGAGCUGGUCCGGGCCUGGAAGGCAGUGCACGCCCACAGCGCCCUCUGCUGAACGGUAUCAGAACAGCAGGCUUGGAGGGCGAAGGCAAUUCCUGCAAAGGAUCCCUGGUUUCCUACCCAUGGGAAACCCCAGAUUCUGAAGCCAGGAAUGAAGGGUAGAUGGAGCCUGGGUCAGCACCCGAGAGGACCCAUAUGUGCAACCUGGAGGAUCUUGGAGCUUGGGAGUAGCGUAGGGGGUGGUUAGUUCAGUUCGGGAUGGCUGAGGAAGCCGUUUUAAACAACUUUCACCGAGAUCUUACUGAGGGCUCAGGAACUUGGCAUGGCCACCAUCCUGGGUAUCCAGGGCCCCUCCUUCCCCCAGGCUAGGAGAGGAACCCCUCCCAGCAGAUGCCUUCCCAGACUACCCUUGUCUCACUUAUCAUAGAGGACGUGUGCCGCCUUCCUUCUCCCAGGCCCUGGAUCUGGGGUUGCUGGACUUGGUGCGUGGGUGGUCUGGAUGCUUCUAGGAUGAAUUCAUAAUUGGGAGAUUCUAGGUGAUGCUCAGAUGGAAAUGAGGGCAACUGCUGCUUGAUGGCAGAACAACAGAGCUUGGCAGAGCUAGGCUGGACUCGACUUGGCAUUUUCUCUCCGUUUCAGACCAGGAUACGGAUUAAUUGAGCCCAGCGGAGCUCAGGUUUCCCGGGGCGGGGGGCAAGCAGUGCCUUGGAGGGAGUGGGGUACUGUGGGACGGAGGACCCAGGAGACCCAGAAUCCUGAACUGUCGGGCUGACUUCGUCUCCUACAGAGUUCUUUAACCCAGGAGCCCCGAGAACCUGCUUUCCUCAAUGUGUUCUUCACCCGUGAGGGACUAGGACAUCCUAAUUGCCAUCCCAGCAGGACACACACACAGACACACACACACACACACACACACACACACACACACACACACACAAAACUGGCCUUUACAGGAUGCACAGUGGAGGAAAAGAACAAAGAAGCACGUGUCUUACAAAGGGAGAGGCAGUGCCAGGCUCAUAGAAGUCAGUGAGGUACUACAAAGGGGACGUCAGGUCCCCCCAGCAGCCUAGAGCCAUGGUGAGGGCCAGGGAGAGGGCUUGUCUAUCACAGUGACAGUCCAUUAUCCAGCUGAACAUCACCUAGGAGGGCCAUGCAUGUGAACAGGGUUUCUGUUUACCAUGUCAGCUUCAGCCUGGGGGCUCCUCCAAUUUUUCCCAUUAGGAGCCCUUAGCACAUCGCUGCAAUGUUUCUGGCUUAUUGGGAAUUCCUAUUAUAGUCCAUUGUCCUCCCUCAAAUCUGAAAAGGGAUGAUUGAUUUUGAGGAAACAAGGCAAGUUGCUGAAGGAUUUCUAAAUGAGCCUUAUGUUUGAUUUUGGGGUCAGUCUGUGUGGGUUCCAAGACAAGAUGGUGGCUGGUAAUGAUUUUCAAAUAAAUAUAUUUUGUGAUCACGAAUUGCCUCCGGGAGAAAUCUGAAAUGUGGCAAGCAGCUCAGGAGAGACACUGCUGCAGGUGCCGUCAGUGCCUUGCUGCAGCCCCUUGGCGUGUUUCAGGUCAGUGCACUUGGGCCUGACUCCCAUCUGCCAGCACCUGCAUCUCUUUCUUUUUAAAAAAGCCAAAAAAAUCAGUUUCAUGGUUCAUCUUGCUAAUUUCAAACCAAAUGUACUAAAAAAAAUGUGGGUUACCCUUUGUAAUUUAGGCUUUCUCUAUUCAAUAAUGAUACAUCCUGGUCAUUUAUUAUUACAGAGGUCUUGGAAUAGUAGAUAGCAUAUCUGGAACUUUAAAAUCUGCAAAGAUACUGUACGCAUGUCUCAAUCAUUUGUGCAGGGGAGGUGCCAGGGUUGAAGGAAACGCAUGGUAGACACUGCAUCAUGUUCUCCUUUUAUUAGCACGAGUGCCUACCUUUCUUUGCCUGGCAGCUUUCUCGCGGGCUGCAGGAGCCUGCUCAGCUGGUGCACCUGUGCUAGACCAGAAGCACCAAGGAAUGAAUCCUCCAGAGUGGCCUUCCCCAAGGGCUGAGUGGAGCUGGUGUACACGCACCCCGUUCCUUCACUGUGAGCUUUGGGGUGUGCAUCUACUCUGACUCCCAGAGUUACCAGUGGGGCGAGGGUCCACACCUGUAGCAGUAAUCUCCUUGGUAACCUUCCCUUUACUGGUGUUCUUUGCGUUCCUAUUUCACUUCCACAUUUCCUUAAGGGUAUUUUCUGGAAUCACCCAAAUAAACUAUUUGCAC
rnacentral:lncRNA from 10 species